rnacentral:rRNA from 1 species
ACCGGCAAAUGGGUGAGUAAUACAUAUGCAACCUGCCCGUAGCUGGAGAAUAGCUUCCGGAAACGGAAAUUAAUACUCCAUAAUAUUCUAGUAUCGCAUGUUAUUAGAAUUAAAGCUUCGGUGGCUACGGAUGGGCAUAUGUCCCAUUAGCUUGUUGGUGAGGUAACUGCUCACCAAGGCUACGAUGGGUAGGGGGUCUGAGAGGAUGAUCCCCCACACUGGUACUGAGACACGGACCAGACUCCUACGGGAGGCAGCAGUGUGGAAUAUUGGUCAAUGGGCGAAAGCCUGAACCAGCCAUGCCGCGUGCAGGAUGACAGUCCUACGGAUUGUAAACUGCUUUUCUGCAAGAAGAAAUGUUCCGACGUGUCGGGAUUUGACGGUAUUGCAGGAAUAAGCAUCGGCUAACUCCGUGCCAGCAGCCGCGGUAAUACGGAGGAUGCAAGCGUUAUCCGGAUUCAUUGGGUUUAAAGGGUGCGUAGGCGGAUUAGAUAGUCAAAGGUGAAAGCCUGCAGCUUAACUGUAGAAGUGCCUUUGAUACUGCUAAUCUUGAGUACAGUUGAGGCGAGUGGAAUGUGUAGUGUAGCGGUGAAAUGCAUAGAUACUACACAGAACACCAAUUGCGAAGGCAGCUCGCUAAGCUGUUACUGACGCUCAGGCACGAAAGCGUGGGGAGCGAACAGGAUUAGAUACCCUGGUAGUCCACGCUGUAAACUAUGAUCACUAGCUGUUGGCGAUAAAUUGUCAGUGGCUCAGCGAAAGCGUUAAGUGAUCCACCUGGGGAGUACGAUCGCAAGGUUGAAACUCAAAGGAAUUGACGGGGGCCCGCACAAGCGGUGGAACAUGUGGUUUAAUUCGAUGAUACGCGAGGAACCUUACCUGGGCUUAAAUGUAGAGCGACGUCUCGAGAAAUCGGGAUUCCCUUCGGGGCGAACUACAAGGUGCUGCAUGGUUGUCGUCAGCUCGUGCCGUGAGGUAUCGGGUUAAGUCCCAUA